rnacentral:rRNA from 1 species
GAUGAACGCUGGCGGCGUGCCUAAUACAUGCAAGUCGAGCGAACAGACGAGGAGCUUACUCCUCUGACGUUAGCGGCGGACGGGUGAGUAACACGUGGAUAACCUACCUAUAAGACUGGGAUAACUUCGGGAAACCGGAGCUAAUACCGGAUAACAUGUUGAACCGCAUGGUUCAACAGUGAAAGACGGUCUUGCUGUCACUUAUAGAUGGAUCCGCGUCGCAUUAGCUAGUUGGUAAGGUAACGGCUUACCAAGGCAACGAUGCGUAGCCGACCUGAGAGGGUGAUCGGCCACACUGGAACUGAGACACGGUCCAGACUCCUACGGGAGGCAGCAGUAGGGAAUCUUCCGCAAUGGGCGAAAGCCUGACGGAGCAACGCCGCGUGAGUGAAGAAGGUCUUCGGAUCGUAAAACUCUGUUAUUAGGGAAGAACAAAUGUGUAAGUAACCAUGCACGUCUUGACGGUACCUAAUCAGAAAGCCACGGCUAACUACGUG